UACGUAGGGGGCAAGCGUUAUCCGGAUUUAUUGGGCGUAAAGCGUGUGUAGGCGGUUUAUUAAGUCUAAGAUCAAAGCCCGAGGCUUAACCUCGGUUCGUUUUAGAAACUGGUAGACUUGAGUGUGGUAGAGGCAAGUGGAAUUUCUAGUGUAGCGGUUAAAUGCGUAGAUAUUAGAAGGAACACCAGUGGCGAAGGCGGCUUGCUGGGCCAUUACUGACGCUGAGACACGAAAGCGUGGGGAGCAAAUAGG
rnacentral:rRNA from 1 species